GCGAGGGUGGCGGAAUUGGUAGACGCGCUAGACUUAGGAUCUAGUGGUUCAGCCGUGAGGGUUCGAAUCCCUCCUCUCGCACCA
rnacentral:tRNA from 1 species